rnacentral:lncRNA from 1 species
AGAGGAUGAGAUGGUUGGAUGGCAUUGUCGACAUGAUGGACAUGAGUUUGAGUAGGCUCCAGGAGUUGGUUAUGGACAGAGAAACCUGGCAUGCUGCAUCCUAUAGAGUUGCAGAGUCAGACACGACUGAGCAACUGAACUGAGCUGAACUGAUCCAUCUAGAAAUUGUUAAUACCCAGGAUGUCAGCAUUCUCCUUUCGCUAGGCCACUUGCUCUCAUCUGGGAUAUUAAAACCAAGGAUGUAGCAAUCAGCAACGAAGUGUGUUGUAAAUUACAACUAAAGACAACUGACUCUUCAUCUGACAUCAGCCUCAGCUUCUUUACCUGCACUUUAGCCUUGAAGAAUCUUGCCACCCAGUUUGGAAGAAAGAGAGACAGAGCUCUGGGAUCACUUUACUGGAUGUCACCUGUUCUGUGCGGGAGGAAGAUCACACUCUGCCUUGAAACCCAGAAAUAAAAAAGUUUCCAGUUCCUCUUCAUUAUGGUUCUGAACAGCUGAACUUAGGCUCUGAAGUGCUAUUUUCCCAGUCUUCUCAGAAACAUGAUGACUUUAUCAGAGAUUAUGGAUGGAAGGCUCAAUUGUCACUGAGCUAGAUGGAGCCAGAAAUGACUUGGAUUUCAAGUAGAAUUGAAGAAUUUCUUUUGGAACCAAUGACAG